rnacentral:rRNA from 1 species
AACGAACGCUGGCGGCGUGGAUAAGACAUGCAAGUCGAACGGGACAGACCGAGUAGCAAUAUUUGGAAUGUUCAGUGGCGAACGGGUGCGUAACACGUGGAUAACAUUCCGGAAAGCGGGGAAUAGCCCAGGGAAACUUGGAUUAAUACCGCAUGUGGCCGCAAGGCUAAAGACGGGGACCGCAAGGCCUGUCACUUUCCGAUUGGUCCGCGGCCUAUCAGCUAGUCGGCGGGGUAAUGGCCCACCAAGGCUACGACGGGUAGCUAGUCUUAGAGGACGACCAGCCACACUGGAACUGAGACACGGUCCAGACACCUACGGGUGGCAGCAGUCGAGAAUCUUUCACAAUGGGGGCAACCCUGAUGGAGCGACGCCGCGUGGAGGAUAAGGCCUUCGGAUUGUAAACUCCUGUCAUGCGAGAACAAGGCACUCAGGCUAAUAACCUGAUUGUUUGAUGGUACCGCAAGAGGAAGAGACGGCUAACUCUGUGCCAGCCGCCGCCGUAACAC